GUAAUCUGGAUGGCGGUAGUACUUCUUCACUUUCAUGCGGAUGGAACCAUCUUUCUUGUUUGACAGAUCAUGAGCACCCAGCACAACCUGUUACCUGCACAACUGUGAGAGCACCAUCAACAAUGAAAAGAUACAUUUUGGAGCAAGUGGUCAGGACCCCCAUGGA